GCCUCUUGUUGGGUUGUUGGCAUUUGAUGCCCUUAUACUCAUGGCAUGUUUACCUGACUCUGGUCCAAGCCAUUUAAUAAGUAGGUCUAUCUGUUCUGAGUCUGAAACUUGUAGUUCGUCUAUGACAUUUUUAAAGCUGGCUUUCCAUGUAUGAAAUGAUUCUGCCUGGUCGUUAAAGCUUGUUAGCCGGGAGAACAGCAAGUCCUUGCGAAGGAGAAAUCUGGUUAUCUCUAACGUAGGAUUGUUUUGCUGCAGGUGUGCAGAAGGGGUCUCUUCUAUUAUAACUCCUUGUCUUAGGUGUGAGACAGGGAUCUCUUCUAUAAUGCCUUGAUUUUGCUGUGAGACAGGGAUCUUUGCUGAAA
rnacentral:lncRNA from 1 species